rnacentral:tRNA from 1 species
AUUUGGGUAGCUGAUAAAAGUUUUGAGCUUUUAACUCAAAGAUGAAAAUAAAAAAGAUUUUCCCCAAAUA